rnacentral:rRNA from 1 species
UGGGGAAUAUUGGACAAUGGGCGCAAGCCUGAUCCAGCCAUGCCGCGUGGAUGAUGAAGGCCUUAGGGUUGUAAAGUCCUUUUAACGGGGAAGAUAAUGACGGUACCCGUAGAAUAAGCCCCGGCUAACUUCGUGCCAGCAGCCGCGGUAAUACGAAGGGGGCUAGCAUUGCUCGGAAUCACUGGGCGUAAAGCGCACGUAGGCGGCUUUCUAAGUCAGGGGUGAAAUCCUGGAGCUCAACUCCAGAACUGCCUUUGAUACUGGAAAGCUUGAGUUCGGGAGAGGUGAGUGGAACUGCGAGUGUAGAGGUGAAAUUCGUAGAUAUUCGCAAGAACACCAGUGGCGAAGGCGGCUCACUGGCCCGAUACUGACGCUGAGGUGCGAAAGCGUGGGGAGCAAACA